AGAGCAGGACAAAUGACCGCUGCUUUGUCGGAGGACAAAGGGGAGGAAAGUCCGGGCUCCACAGGACAGGGUGCUGGGUAACACCCAGUCCCGGCGACGGGAAGGAAAGUGCCACAGAAAAGAAACCGCCUGGUGAAACGGCCGCGGCUGUGGAACCAGGUAAGGGUGAAAAGGUGAGGUAAGAGCUCACCAGUCCUGCCGGUGACGGCAGGAGCUUGGUAAACCCCACCCGGAGCAAGACCAAAUAGGGGAACGCAGGAGGGUGGUCCGCCCGAGUUCCCGGGUAGGUCGCUCGAUCCCGCCGGUAACGGUGGGACUAGAUGAAUGGUCAUUGUCCCCGGAUUUGCCGCAGGCGAAACCCGGGGAAACAGAACCCGGCUUAUGGCCUGCUCUAACC
rnacentral:RNase_P_RNA from 1 species